UACGUAGGGGGCAAGCGUUGUCCGGAUUUAUUGGGCGUAAAGAGCGUGUAGGCGGCCAGGUAGGUCCGUUGUGAAAACUCGAGGCUCAACCUCGAGACGUCGGCGGAAACCCUCUGGCUAGAGUCCGGAAGAGGUGAGUGGAACUGCGAGUGUAGAGGUGAAAUUCGUAGAUAUUCGCAAGAACACCAGUGGCGAAGGCGGCUCACUGGUCCGGUUCUGACGCUGAGGCGCGAAAGCGUGGGGAGCAAACAGG
rnacentral:rRNA from 1 species